AAUAGGAGUUUAUACUGAAGACUGACAGAAGAACUGGAGAGUUGUGAACAUUUCUAUGGCAACACUAAAUGUUGGGUACGUGAAGAGGCAGGUUGACAGCAUGAAGUGAGAGACAGGGAGCUGGCAGAAGCUUGAAGAAAUUUGGGAACUGCAAGAUCCUGAAUUCAGAAAAGGUAAUAGAAAACUGCCAUGACUCAGCUUAAUAAGGAAUGUGAGAGUGGUUAAGGCAGCUAAGAGAAAUGUGAAGUAUUAUUGCUACCAGUGGACUAUUCCCUUGUUCUUUCAAUAUUGCUCCAAGAACUAAAUGGAUCCUUCAAAAUCUGGCUAACUACCAAGGACACAAUCAAACAUCUGUGCACCAGAUGCAGAAAGCAUUAUAUCCAGCUGUGUUACUGCAGCUACAUCUGCAGAAUGCAGCAUAUGUCAACUUCCAUGGCCAGCAGGCUUUGGAAAUGCUAUCUACAGGAAUUAAAGCUUUCAACAGAAGUUAAAGUGGGUACUUUGCUUUCAACUUUUCUAUGUCUUCUUUUACCUCUCUACAUUUCUUGCCUGAAUUACUUGUAAGUUUGAAAUAUUGGACUGAUAUAGCAUGUGGUUUUUCACCAGUGGAGAGCUGAUUUCAAGUUAUUAUAAAGAAAAGAAAAUGCAAUAAUUAAAGGAUUCAGAAAAAUUGUCUUUUCUUCUUAUGAAUCUGGUGAAGUCCUAUAUGGUAUACGACCAGGAAAAUAGAGGAGAGUGCUUCUUUCAGAGGCUACUAGAGCAAACUUCCAGAAGAAUUUGAGAAUUUCUGUUCAACUUGCUGGAGCAAUGAGUUUUUCUCAGUAGGAUAUACUGUAGGUUUCCCUACCAAAUACUCAGAAGCAUACUGAGGUUGUCUUACUACAUAAGGUCUGUCAUUCAUUGUAAAAUUUAUUUUACAUAUUACCCUUCUUUCCUUUUCCAUUCCCCUCUGUUGCAAUUGUCAUAAAAACAGGGGGAAGAAUAUUGUAUUUGUAUAUCUCAAUUUCUCCUUCCUAACAGUGUAACUAGACCUUGUUAGGGAAAGCCAUUAGCAAGUUAGCAAAAGGAAAUGAAAAUAUUUUAUUUCACAAAAAGGAGAAGAAGCAGCCUUUGGUGGAUGUAGAUUAAUAAAAGUGGCUACACUUUUUAA